rnacentral:rRNA from 1 species
UACGUAGGGUGCAAGCGUUGCCCGGAAUUAUUGGGCGUAAAGAGCGUGUAGGCGGCCCGAUUAGUCCGCUGUGAAAGUCCAGGGCUCAACCCUGGAAUGCCGGUGGAUACUGUCGGGCUAGAGUCCGGAAGGGGCGAGUGGAAUUCCUGGUGUAGCGGUGAAAUGCGCAGAUAUCAGGAGGAACACCAAUGGCGAAGGCAGCUCGCUGGGACGUGACUGACGCUGAGACGCGAAAGCGUGGGGAGCAAACAGG